rnacentral:rRNA from 2 species
GACGUAGGGGGCGAGCGUUGUCCGGAUUUACUGGGCGUAAAGAGCGCGUAGGCGGUCUGUUAAGUCAGAAGUGAAAUCUCCAGGGCUCAACCCGGAAACUGCUUUUGAUACUGAUAGACUUGAGUGUCGGAGAGGUAACUGGAAUUCCUGGUGUAGCGGUGACAUGCAUUGAUAUCAGGAGGAACACCCAUGGCGAAGGCAGGUUACUGGCCGACAACUGACGCUGAGGCGCGAAAGCGUGGGUAGCAAACAGA